CAAUAGGCAAUACAAAAAAAGCAAUAUUGGAAGGUGAUUUCUCCGAUCGAAAUCUCUGGGCUUUCUCUUUGUGAUUAUUUUCUUUUUUUUUUAUUUCGAGAGUAAAUAAAAGAAAAGGGGAACACGAACACAGACGCACACAGAAUAUACACGCACAGAAAUAUAAAAAAAAACAAUUAAGAAUUUGCAAGGGUAAUCUCAAGUUUUCUUUCGUUCUUUCUUUUUUUUUUCUUUUUUGUUUGGUUUAGAUCGUCUUUUAGUAGGUAAAUCGACUCCAAUGAGAUCCCGAAUACUUUAAGAUACAAAAGUAGGGGAGAGGAGUCAAGUGGUGUUGAAUCUCUAUUUUAUGAACUUUCUUCGUUUUUUUUUAAAAUGUAUGAGAUUUGAAGUUUUAUUUUUUCUCAAGUAAAAAAGAAAAUACUUACUAAUUUCCUCAAGGCAUGGUCGAAUACUUACGGCCACAGAACCAGGAAUUGUUUUGCGCGCUGCUGGACACCAAAUCCGAUGGAGAUUCAGCUGCUUGUAAAAGGAACCCUAGCAAAUUUAUUUUCAAGGCUGCUGGUUUUUGUUAAAAUGGAUGGGUAUUUGAAAGGAAAGGAAGGGAAAAAUGGUUUAAAAUGGUCUGAAAUACAAAACAGUGCUGCCCAUGACCAUAAGGGUCCGCGCGUAGGCCCGAAUAGAAAAAUGGAUCUGCGCCAUGUUGUGUGAAUGGGGAAAUUGCGCGCUGAAUCCUUCCCUUGCGCACAACCUUCAAUUUGCGCCCCAAUUUCCCCCCCAACCAAUAAACGACGCCGUUUCAAGGGUGGGUCGGGUCGACCCGACCCGCCCCAGCAAGGAUCCGCGUGUUUUUAAGAGCGGAAGGGCUAUUUGCGCAAUCAGCCCUUCCGCAUUUUUGGUGUUUUAAAUUAGGUUUAUGUUUGUUUCUGAAUUGACCCCAGAAUUUUGCUCAGUUUUUAAUUUAACCCCCGUAUAUGCGCAGCGUUUUGGAAAGUUUGAAAAUUUGCACUUUUAAUACCCCAUGGUUUUACCCGCAUUCAAAUAGGUCCUUUCCCCUUUAAUUUUUUUAAAUUCGCCCCAAAGCUUUGUUUUUAGUUCAUUUUUGGUCCUUUUUGUUUCCUUAUUUAAUAUGAUUAUUGUUAUUUCCAAUAUUAUAGUAUUAUUAUUAUUACUAUAUAUUAGUAUACAUUUUUCUUUUACAUGUGAAUAUUGUAUAUAUUUAUAUAUAAUAUUAUUUUUAAUUAUUGUAUUUUAAUAUUAUUAUUAUAUUAUAUAUACUUCUUCGUAUUUUAUUAUUAUUAUUAGUAUUAUUAUCUUUAUUCAUAUUAGCAGACAUAUGUUAUUAUAUAUAUACACAUUUCAUAUAGUAUUAUCUUUUUUUUACUAUUAUAUUUAUUAUUAUAUUCAUUGUUAAUACAUCUAUUUUUUAUACAUGUAUAUAUACCCUUUUUGUAAUAUUAUUUUUUACACCUAUAUGUAUAUAUUUUAUUUUAUUGUUGCUAGUUAUGUACUUUUUUACUAUCUUAUACGUACUUCAAACACUAUACGUAUAGUAUAUUUCUAACACUACUACUAUUUAUAUAAAUAUUUUACGUAUAUACUCUUAAUUAUCUUCAUAUGUGUAUUCAUUGUAUUCUUAUUACGUUCUCGUAUUCAAUGCUAACAUUGCAUUUGAUCUUGCAUGCACGGUUAUUAUUUUCUAAUAUUAUUGUCACCUCGAUUAUUUGUUUCAACAUAUUCCUAGCUCUUUCAUUUAUUGAUUUUUAUUUCAUAUUAUUUUACUUUGCAUUAUUUCGAAAAUCGUAUUCUUGUUUUGCUAAUUAAUUUCAAUAAUCAAGGCAAUAUAUCGAUUUAACAUUAAGUCAUCAAGUUCAUCACUAUGUUGGGUGAACGUCAAUUGACUCGUGUUAAAGCGAUAUACCCUUCUAAAAGAAAAAACGGAAUAAACUAAGUUUCUUGUUUUUUAAUCAGAUCACGACUAAAUUUUACAUUGAACCGUAUUUUUGAAAAUUAAGACAACAUGUGUUUAUGAGAUACCAAUUUUUGGGCGUCACGAGGGUGCUAAUACCUUCCUUGCGCGUAACCGACUCCCGAACCCUAAUUUUCCUCUGGCUUUUAACGUAGACCUAAAUUCAGCCUUCCUUUUGUUUUUUUUAAAAAAGAAGUCUAACAGGUGUCCGGUCACACCUAAUAAAAAGGAUCGGUGGUGAUUCCCUCUUUAUUUUGAAAUCGAAUUUCAGUUUCCAAACUUUUUCACUAGAUCGCCACAAUUAGCGACCCCGGAACCAAUUUUUAUGUCGCUACAGCUGGCGACUCCACUGGGGACUUUUGAGAGUUGAGUCUGAUGUUAAACGCGUAUUGUCAAAUUUUUAAAAUCCUUUGUUCAAAUUAAUUUUUAAUCGUGAUCCUUGAAUUUUUUUUUUUGAAAAGUCAUGCAUUUGCAUUUGGUUUUUUUUAAUUAAUAGUUUUCUAACUUAUUUUGUCUUUCUGUUUUUUUUAGCUUUAAGUUUUACAUUUUUUUAGUUGUUUUAGUAAAAAUAAAAUUUAAAAAGGUUUGUGAGUUUCUCCCUACACACCGUGCACUUGCAUUCUUGCAUAACAUGAGCUCUCUACCCGGGCUCCAUCCGUUUAAGUGGAAGUAAACGCUACGCCUUCGUGAGUUAACUCGUCCCUCCGCACAGGCUAGUGAAAUACUUUCGGGUUACAUAUGACUUAUGUUUUCGUGAGUUAACUCGUCCCUCCGCAUAGGCAUAAGUAAAUGUAAUCCCUCGAAUUGAUCUCGUAAGCCUAUGAUGGGCCAUGACCGAGGCUCUGUACUAAUCUUGGUAGAUGACAGUGCAGACGAUUCGAGUACCCAUCUAGAACCAAAACCGCAUAUAGUGAACCAUGUGAGCCAUCCAAAUAGAGCCAUGCUGAACCUCUGUCCGCUUAUAGUCAUCAAAAUAAGUACACGGGGAAAAUACCUUUUGCCAUCCAGUUACACUGUUUGUGCAAAAUAAUUGGAUUGGGUAGUUUAAUUUGUUUUUCAAAUUAUAUUUGUUGUGUUUACUAACCAAGUUUGUUUGUUUUCACUUUUAUUUUCAUCAUGCAUCAUAGGCAUCAUAUUAAGAAGGUGUUGACUAAAGGUUGGUUGCCAAAAAAUGGGUUUCUGAUGGAGGAGUCAAUUACACAAAUAACCGAGAAGAGUGCCGUGGUUCGGGACUGGUCUCUAAAAAUUCAGAAAGAAAAGGGGGAUAGUCUAGUGGAAGGGUGUGUCGCCAAUUUGCCCGAACAUAUAACUGUAAAUGUUCGCCAAAAUAACCUUGAGGAUUUGGUUCGAAUUUGGAAUCAGUACACUAGAGACAUUUUCACUGAGAGGUAUGGAGAUAUAGCUCACCUGAUCACCAUCCGUGUAGACGAACAGUUGAUUCAAGCCAUGGUUCGGUUCUGGGACCCAGCUUAUCAGUGUUUCACCUUCAAUCAAGAAGACAUGACUCCAACCAUAGAAGAGUAUGCUGCUUUACUCCGCAUCGACAAUGUACAAUUCGGCAAAAUAUAUGUGAAGGAGCCUAAGCCGAUGACCUUCAAGAAAAAGUUAGUGAGACUAACAGACAUGACUGAUGCAUGGGCCGAAAAACAGAUAAAGAAGAAGAAUGAAACCAUUUGCAUUCCAUGGUCCUCCCUACGAGAUUUGGCUCUAAACUAUCCCAACAUGCUGAAAAGGGUAAAUCUAUUCGCUUUGGCCUUUUACGGUUUGGUCAUUUUCCCAAAAGUUCUCAGACAUCUCGAAGUUGCAGUAGUUGAUUUCUUCGAAAGGUUAAAACAAGGAAUCAACCCUGUUCCGACCAUCCUAGCCGAGAUCUUCAGGUCCCUGAGUAGUUGUCGAAGAAAAGGGGAGGGACGAUUUAUCGGAUGCGCGCAGUUGCUCAAUGUUUGGAUUUUGAGUCACUUCUGGAAGGUAGAGCGCACUCCGUUCCAUAUGUUUUCUAAAACAUUGUCCCCUCUAGAAGCUUACCUCAAGAAAGAAUGGCCGAAGGAAGUCACCAAGCAACAUUGGGUAUCAGUUUUUCAGAAUCUUCGCGCCGAGAAUAUAACAUAGAGAGCACCCUGGAUCCGUCCUUCAGUUCUGCUAUACAAAUGUGGAAGCCAAGAUUGGGUACCUUUACUCGGGUUAUGGGGAGGAGUUGGAUAUGCCCCGCUAUUAGUCCAAAGGCAGUUUUCUUCGCGACAAUUCCUCCCCGCAACUGGAGGAUUAGCACAGUUCGAGUUCACUUUCGCGGGUGAAGGAUAUAUGAAGAGAGUCCGAGUCACUGCAAAGUAUUGGAAGGAAAUUCAUUUCAUGGAAUUAGCUUUGUAUGCUGAUACCCUUACCCAAGAUUAUGACAUAUGGAGGAAGCAACGGGUAAAUAGUCAGCAAAUCUCAUCAACAAACUACACCAUCCAAAAUCCUUUCUCGGAGGAAACGCCGUCUGAGCUAGAAAUGACAAGACAAGAAUUCGAACGAGAAAAGGCCAAGAUGUCUCGGGACCUUAAUGCCCUUCAAGAAGAAAACUAUCAACUGAAGAUUGAAGUUCAGGUUGAAAGGUCCAGGACUGAAAAAGUACAAAGAGAAGCCGAGAUUGUGAGAAACGACUUAAGGGACCUUCAUUUGGAAAACAAGAAAUUAAGAAACACUAUAAAGAAUAGCGGGUUAGGCAAGUCGAUAGCAGAAUGGAAGGAAGAAAUUAGCAAUAUUAAGGGAGGAAUGGAGUUUUGGAAGGGAAAAGCAAAGAAAGAGGAGGAAAAGGCUGCGCGUGCUAUGAUAGAGUUAAGAAGGAAGAACGCCGAGUAUGAAAUAGUGGCUGCAAAAUUGGCGAAUAGUCAGUCUGAACAUCAAGAAUUAAAAAGGAAAACACGAGAUCUAGAAAAUAUGCUGCAAUCUCGUCAACAACAAUUAGAUAACCUCUUGAAGGCUCUAGAAGAAAAGAGUGAGCAGUACGAUAAGGACAUUCACGCGUAUGAAGGAACCCUCAAAGAAAAAGAAAUGCAACUUGACUUCUUGAUCAAUGAAAUUCGUAAAGCGGCUAUGCAAGUUGUUCAAUUAUCAGAUAAAGCCAAAGUUCUCAGUUGCCAAUUCCCCCCGAGCCAAAGAUCGAGCAUAUCAGAGUUUUUAGAGCAAGUGAAGAAACAAGGCAAUGUGGCUAGGAAAUUUGUGUAACUGUUGGAAAAAUGAGAACUUUGUGUAAUAGACUAUGUUGAUAAAUGAAAUACCUAAAUAUGGGGCUAUCUUGAAAUCAACACCAAUUUCUUGCAUUUCAUUCAUAAUUGACACUCAUUUGACAUUCAUGCAUUCAUUCAUGCAUCAGUUCAUUCAUUGCAUAUCCCAUACUCGUUCGCUGAGGUUAAAACGUACAAUUUGCAGUUGCCAGACUUCAAGACUGGAACCACGUCAUCCGUAUAAAACGCGCCGACAAGCUAGAGUAAUGGAAGCUGAAUUCAAUGAGAGAAUUGAAAGGAUGGAAAAGCUCAAAAGGAAUUACAAGAGCAACUGGCCAAAUCGCAACAAGAGACGAGAGACCUAAUGGUGAUAUCUCGAGAGGAAUCAUUCGAGCAAAGAGAUCAGAUGGCUAAAAUGAUGGAGAUGAUGACAACUUUGGUCAAAGGAAAAUGGCCCAUGCAGAACCCUGAUGUUAUGGAACCUCGGUCAAAAAUUCACCAUGAUCAGGAUCCACUCUAUCCCCCAAGAUUCACUCCACCGCCCGCAUAUACAAUACAAAGAGGGUAUACUCAAGAGGAACCCACUGGCUUGGAGCAUCGACCCAUGCCACCUGCUCCACCCACUAAUUUGGGGCAAGGAAUGUUAGCGUCGAACCCAGGGGCUAGUUUUGCUAAUCCACUAGUUCCAGAUCUAGAUGACCCAGCAGAGGUAGCCAAGUUGAAAUUGGAUAACCAUGACGCAAAAUAUAGGAGUCUAGAGGAAAGACUCAAAGUAAUAGAAGGCACUGAAGUCUUCUCCGCACUAGGUGCCAAGGAACUCAGUUUGGUACCUGAUCUAAUUUUGCCCCCGAAGUUCAAAGUGCCUGAUUUUGAGAAGUAUGAUGGAACAAGGUGCCCAAAAGCACAUCUCAUUAUGUUCUGUCGAAAAAUGACCGGUUAUGUGAAUGAGGAUAAACUACUCAUACAUUGCUUUCAAGAUAGUCUAACAGGGUCAGCUCUUCGGUGGUACAAUAAACUUAGUAGAGAAAAGAUUCGAUCCUGGAAGGACUUGGCGUUAGCAUUUUGCGAACAGUACAAGCAUGUAUCGGAUAUGGUGCCAGACCGUAUGACCUUGCAAAUGAUGGAGAAAAAGCCAUCAGAGACCUUUAGACAGUAUGCGCAGAGAUGGAGAGACGUCUCAGCUCAAGUGGAACCCCCACUAACAAAAACAAAGAUAACCGUUCUUUUUAUCAAUACUUUAAAGGCACCGUUUUAUGACAAACUAGUGGGAAGUGCCACGAAAGAUUUCGCGGAUAUUGUAAUAUCCGGUGAACUCAUAGAGAAUGCCGUCAAGAGCGGUAGAAUGGAAGGAUCAGAAGGCUCAAGAAAAGCAGCACCCUUAAGGAAGAAAGAGCCAGAAGCCCACAUGGUGGGAACUGGGAGUCGUUACAUUCCCAAUUCGUAUCGUAACCAACCCCGACCUCGAAAUUAUCCACCCCCGAAUUCCUAUUAUCCCCUACAAACCCCUUACUACCAAGCACCACAUCCGUCCUGCCCCGUAUACGCCACGAACAACCAAAGACCCGUCACUACUUUCCCACAAAACACGGUACCCGCCCAAAGCCAAUCAAGGCAUAAUCCCGAGAGACCGCAAUUUACCUCCAUCCCUGUGUCGUAUGGGGAAUUGUACCCAAAACUUUUAGAAAAACAGCUAAUUUCUCCCCAUUACAUGGCACCCCUUAAACCUCCAUACCCAAAGUGGUACGAUCCAAACGCUAGUUGUGCAUACCACGCAGGGAAUCAAGGGCACUCUACUGAGAACUGUCUCGCUUUCAAAAGGAGAGUUCAAGGACUCAUUGACGCGGGUAUCCUACGAUUCGAUAGUGCUAGUAACGCCACGGGGAACCUGUUCCCUAACCAUACCAAAAGGAAUGUGAGCACAGUGGGGAAAGAGGAUGAAUGGAAGGUCAGAAGAUGUGUGGCAGAAAUAAGGACGCCUCUGCAGAAAAUCUGGGAGAUAUUGGUUAAGAAAGGAUUGCUCUGUCACUCUGAUAGAGUUUUUGGAGAAGAAGGUCAAAGUUUUUGCAAUUUUCAUGGGAUUGUUGGGCACGACAUUCAGUCAUGCGAGGACUUUAAAAGGUUACUUCAAGACCAGAUGGAUAAUAAGGAGAUCAAGGUCCUUAACAAGAGUCAAGAUGCCAACGAAAGAGAAGUAUGCGUCUCUGAUAGCCAAUCAUCAGGGCCCCCUUAUAGUGCUGAUCGACCGUUGGUAAUUUAUUACGACGCGAUGAGAGAGCCAUUGAAACCACAGAUGGUAAUUGAAGUACCAUCUCCUUUCCCGUAUAAGGACAACAAAAUAGUACCGUGGAAAUAUGAUGUUAAUAUCGUUACACCGGAAGUUGAAAAGUCUAAAGCCAUAACUGAAGAUGUUGGGGAGGUAGGUCAUUUUACUCGAAGUGGACGAUGCUAUUCUAAAGAAGUUGAACCGGUAAAGAAAAGUAGUGACUCGAAGCAAAAAGGGAAAGCAGUGAUGUACGAGGUCGAAGUCGAGCAAGAAAUUCCACUCGUGCAAGAAACUAAAAAGCCUGUGAAUGAGGAAGAAGCUCAAGAAUUCUUGAAAUUUAUUAAGCACAACGAAUAUAGUGUGGUGGAACAAUUGAGCAAGCAGCCAGCACGAAUCUCAGUUCUAUCUCUACUAUUAAAUUCAGAGCCACACCGGAACGCUAUAUUGAAGGUGUUAAAUCAAGCUUAUGUGGCCAACAACACAUCUGUCGAAAAGCUUGAUAGGUGGGUAAACAAUCUGAAUGCGGACAACUUCAUCUCUUUUAGUGAUGAUGAGAUACCGCCAAAUGGUAGAGGCUCGGUGAAAGUGCUGCAUAUCACAACCCGCUGCAAGGGCUACAUAAUACCGAACGUACUCAUCGAUAAUGGGUCAGCGAUAAAUGUUAUGCCAUUGGCUACACUUCCAGAAUACCGAUGGAUUUGUCCUACUUAAAGCCCUGUCAUUCCAUGGUAAGAGCAUUCGACGGGACGAAGCGCGAAGUCAUGGGAAAGAUCGAAAUCCCUUUGGAAGUUGGCCCCUACAUCUAUGCGGUCGAAUUCCAAGUCAUGGACAUUACACCCUCUUAUAACUGUCUUUUGGGAAGACCUUGGAUUCAUUCUGCUGGAGCAGUCCCAUCAUCCCUCCAUCAAAAGGUGAAAUUCAUCAUGGAUGGCUGUUUGGUCACAGUCGAGGGCGAAGAAGACAUCGUCGCAUCUAUCUCUGCUGAUGCGCCAUACCUGGAAGUAAGCAAGGACGCAGUGGAAUGUUCCUUUCGAUCCCUUGAAUUCAUCAAUGACACUUUCGUCGCUGAGGGAAAUAGAAUUCCGAUGCCAAAACUGUCGAGAAAUACCAGAAUGGGUGUCAAGUUGACCGUAGGAAGGGGAGCUCGUGCGAGAAGAGGUUUAGGGAGACAUCUGCAAGGAAUAGUGAGGGCUUUAAAGCUAGUGCACCACAAGGCUCGAUACGGUUUGGGGUUCCAGCCUGACAUGCACCAAAGAAGAAGACAGUGGAAGAAGGAUCAAGAGAGAAGAAUUACAAGAACUUUAGGCCGAGAACCAGAAUGGGAACCAAUAGAGUACCCUCCUUUGUCAAAAACAUUUAUAUCUGCGGGAAUGAUGUACCCUAGACAAGAUGAUCCACGAAACAUGCUGGGAUUAAUUGAAAGGGAUUUUCAGAAUGUCAGUAUAAAUGUCAUUGACAAAGAAGCUAGUGCAAGUAAAGAUGUAUCGAGGAUACGCCUUUGCCCUCCUGGUUUCAUGUUGAACAAUUGGAUUGCUGAGGAGCUUCUUGUAGUUUAUAAGCCUUCAGAGUAAUGCUAAACAUCAACCUUCUAUUGUGUCCUUAGAUAUAAUAGAAUUCUUUUGUAAGAGUUUGCAUUCACUCUUUAUCAUUUAAAUGAAUAUCAAUGAAGAUGCAUUUUGUCACGAUUUUUCGUAUUAUCACUAAUCUCAUAAUCAUUUUCUCAUUUCAUAGCCUAUCCUUACAUUUGCCUCCUUGCCAUGACAUAACAUUUGUUUGUUGUUUCCAAUACUUGGAUGUCCCCCUAUAGCUUCCUUUUCCAUUCAACUUUCAGGUGCUCAGAUAUUGACGACAUGAAUAAGCCCGUUACGAAUCUUGAAAUUGAUUUUGAGAAGGCUGUUUGCUUAGGAGAAUUUGAAGCCGAAGAAAAUGCUGAAGAUUAUGUCUCGUCUCCUGAAUUGUUAAGAAUGGUGGAACAAGAGGAUAAACAGGUUUUGCCUCAUGAAGAAUCUGUGGAAACAAUAAAUUUGGGCACUGAAGAGAGGAAACAAGAAGUGAAGAUUGGGACUUCUAUUUCAGAAAGUACCAGGCAUAGUUUGAUCACUUUACUCCGCGAAUACAAAGAUGUUUUCGCGUGGUCAUACCAGGACAUGCCAGGGCUAGAUGAAGAUUUAGUGGUCCAUAAGCUCCCAUUGAAGCCAGAAUACAAGCCCAUCCAGCAAAAAUUAAGACGGAUGAGACCCGAAAUGCUGUUGAAAAUAAAAGAGGAAGUCAAGAAGCAAUUUGAUGCUGGCUUCCUACAAGCCUCCAAAUAUCCAGAAUGGGUGGCUAACAUAGUCCCGGUACCAAAGAAAGAUGGAAAAGUACGAAUGUGCGUGGAUUACCGUGACCUGAAUCGAGCACGCCCAAAAGAUAAUUUUCCCUUGCCACAUAUUGACACGUUGGUGGACAACACAGCAAAACAUUCAUUGUUUUCUUUUAUGGAUGGAUUCUCGGGGUAUAAUUAGAUCAAGAUGGCCCUUGAGGAUAUAGAGAAAACUACCUUCAUAACAAUGUGGGGAACGUUCUGCUAUAAGGUGAUGCCAUUCGGGUUAAAGAAUGCUGGGGCAACAUAUCAGAGGGCUAUGGUGACAAUAUUCCAUGACAUGAUGCAUAAGGAAAUAGAGGUCUACGUCGAUGAUAUGAUUGCUAAAUCUCGAGGAGAAGAAGAACAUGUAAUGAACCUCAAGAAGUUGUUCGAAAGGAUUAGAAAGUUUCAGCUGAAGCUUAAUCCAGCCAAAUGUAUAUUCGGGGCUACCUCGGGAAAAUUGCUAGGCUUCAUUGUCAGUGAAAGAGGUAUCGAAGUUGAUCCAGAUAAAAUAAAAGCCAUCCAAGAAUUACCACCUCCGCGCACGCAAAAGGAAGUUAGAGGAUUUUUAGGGAGAUUAAAUUACAUCGCCCGAUUUAUCGCUCAACUUACCAACCAAUGCGACCCAAUUUUUCGACUCCUUCGAAAACAUAACCCGGGAGAAUGGAAUGAGGAGUGCCAAGUGGCCUUCGAUAAGAUAAAACGGUAUCUGUCUAAUCCUCCUGUGCUAGUACCACCGACCCCUGGAAAACCCUUAAUUUUGUACCUGACCGUGUUUGAAAACUCAAUGGGUUGCGUGCUGGGGCAACAUGAUGAGUCAGGGAGAAAAGAAAAGGCGAUCUACUACCUCAGCAAAAAGUUCACUGAAUAUGAGGCAAAAUAUUCGUCCAUUAAGAAAUAUUGUUGCGCUCUGGUUUGGGUAGCUCGGAGACUCAGACAAUAUAUGUUGUAUCACACGACAUGGCUAAUUUCAAAGCUGGACCCAAUAAAAUACAUGAUGGAAUCGCCGGCACUAUCAGGAAGAAUGGCACGAUGGCAGAUCCUCCUUUCGGAAUAUGACAUUGCCUAUGUAAGUCAGAAGUCAAUAAAAGGGAGCGCAGUAGCUGACUUCUUAGCAACUCGAACGACAGAGGAAUAUGAGCCUUUAAGAUUCGAUUUCCCAGACGAAGACUUAAUGUGCAUCAUAGAAAUAGAAUCCGAGUCAUCAAAAGAGAAGUCAUGGAAGAUGUGCUUUGAUGGUGCGUCAAAUGCUUUAGGGCAUGGAAUUGGAGCAAUCCUGGUAUCACCAGACGGGAAUCAUUAUCCGUUCACUGCAAGACUGAACUUCUUCUGUACCAAUAAUAUCGCAGAAUAUGAGGCCUGUAUCAUGGGACUUCGUGCAGCUAUCGAACGAAACAUCGAGAUCUUGGAGGUGUACGGGGACUCAGCCCUAGUGAUUUACCAAAUCCGUGGAGAAUGGGAAGUGAGGGACUCAAAAUUGAUUAAGUACAGUGAUUUAGUGGCUUGAUUGAUCAAGGAAUUCAAAGAAAUAACUUUUCAUUACUUCCCACGAGAAGAGAACCAACUGGCUGAUGCCCUAGCCACUUUGGCUUCAAUGUUCAAAGCAAGUAGAGAAGCAGAAAUAAUGCCCCUCAAAAUGAGCAUAUACGAGGUCCCUGCACACUGUUGUAGCAUUGAGAAAGAAGUAGACGGACGGCCUUGGUUCCAUGAUAUCUUAGAAUAUAUCAAGAAUCAAAGGUAUCCCGAACAAGCGAAUGAGAACGAUAAAAGAACAAUUAGAAGAAUGGCAGCGGGAUUUGUUCUUGAUGGGGAUAUCCUGUAUAAAAGAGGAAAUGAUCAGAUGCUUUUGAGAUGUGUGGAUGAUGUUGAAACCAGAAAAAUACUUGAAGAGGUCCAUGAGGGAAUUUGCGGAACGCAUGCCAAUGGUUUCAAUAUGGCCAGAAAGAUCAUGAGACUCGGUUAUUAUUGGCUGACAAUGGAAAGUGACUGCAUCAAUUUUGCCAGAAAAUGCCACAAAUGUCAAAUCUACGGCGAUAAAAUUCAUGUAGCCCCUUCACCCCUUCAUGUCAUGACUUCUCCGUGGCCUUUUUCUAUGUGGGGCAUGGAUGUCAUAGGGCCAAUUUCUCCAAAAGCUUCAAAUGGACAUCGAUUCAUUUUUGUAGUUAUUGAUUACUUCACAAAAUGGAUUGAAGCCGCUUCGUUUGCCAAUGUGACGAAGACUGCAGUGUGCAAGUUUUUGAAAAAAGAAAUCAUUUGCCGAUAUGGUUUCCCUGAAAGAAUCAUCUCAGAUAAUGCCACGAAUCUGAACAAUAAGAUGAUGAAAGAAGUGUGCGAGCAGUUCCAAAUAAAGCAUCAUAAUUCCUCGCCCUAUCGCCCAAAGAUGAACGGGGCUGUUGAAGCAGCUAACAAGAACAUUAAGAGGAUCAUUGGGAAAAUGACUGAGACAUAUAAAGAUUGGCACGAGAAACUUCCAUUUGCUUUGUUUGCAUAUCGUACAUCUGUGCGAACAUCUACGGGAGCAACUCCUUUCUCUCUAGUCUAUGGAAUGGAAGCUGUGCUACCUAUCGAGGUUGAGAUCCCCUCUCUGCGAGUAUUGAUGGAAUCAAAGUUUGAAGAAGCAGAAUGGGUUCGAGCUCGAUAUGAUCAGUUGAACCUCAUUGAAGAAAAACGUCUAAGGGCAAUUUGUCAUGGGCAAAUGUACCAAAAAAGAAUGAUCGCAGCCCAUGACAAGAAGGUACGACCAAGAGAGUUCCAUGAAGGAGAACUCGUUCUGAGAAAGAUUCUCCCAAUACAAAAAGACCUGCGAGGAAAAUGGGCACCAAAUUGGGAAGGACCAUACGUUGUAAAAAAGGCAUUCUCGGGAGGAGCUUUAAUCCUUACCGAGAUGGACGGAAAGGAGUUACCGAAUCCGGUGAAUUCAGAUGCGGUGAAGAAAUAUUAUGCUUAAGAUGAAAACCCGAAAAUGGCAUCUAAAAAAAAAGGGCGAAAACCCGAAAAGGGCGUCUUGAUUAGUACAAAAAGAUUAGGAUGAAAACCCGAGAGGGCGUCCUAAUGAAACAAACCUGGCGGUCGAACGAUAGGUCGAGUAGUGAGACUACAGUAUUUGAAGCACUUCUGAAAGCUCAAAAUUUUCUAUGCAAGAAGCCAUGCUCGAAAAGAUUAUUGAUUGAGGAACGUGGAAGAGUUCAUGUGUUGAAUAUCUAGAGCAUUUGUAUCCGUUGAAUACGACCUUUUCUUUCUUUUUGACAUUUUUACUCUCAUUGGUUAACUUUCUUUGUUUGCCGCAUUUGAAAUAAAGGAAUAUGAGAUAUCCUUUUUGUCCCUACCUGACCAUUUUCAUGCAUCUCAUUAUGUGUUUAUUUAAUGAUAAAUAGUGAAAUGACAUACUCUAAACAAAAGAAAUGUCAAGCAUUACCCGGAUAAGAAUUUGAUAAGUGCAAGAUCUUCAAAGCAAGAACAAAGUUUAACCAAGGGCAAAAGGGUGAUAUCUGAGAAACGUUGAUUACUCGUAAAGCUCGAAGACAGGUAUGAGGCCUGAAGAGAAGGUCGAGAAUCAAAACAAUGAACACAGAUCCUCAACAAUCAUGGCGAAAAGGACAUACGACCUAUAUGCUUAAGGAGCACUGCAUAAUCAUGUAGGCAUAAAGGCAUUUAAGACAAACAUGUGCAUAUCAUGAUAACAUCAUGCAUAGCAUAUACAGGUAAUCCAGAAAAGCCAGAAAUCUUGAAUGAGAGUCGCACUGAAUCAAAGGAAAAGAUACCCGAGUUCUACCAAAGGACUGGUUUUGGUAUUUUGAUGUUUUUAAUUCAUGCUUUCCAAGGAAAAUUGACUCAUAUUGCGAGAGGUGAGUCAAGCCUCAGGUCACGCUGAGGUAUUUUAAUUCCUUUUGUUUCAAAAAUCAACUCAUAUUGCUAGAGGUGAGUUGAGCCUCGGGGCACGCCGAGGUACUUUUAGUUUAUGUUUUAAAUUGACUCAUAUUGCGAGAAGUGAGUUAAGCCUUUUAAUUCCUGUUUUUCAAAAAAUCAACUCAUAUUGCGAGAGGUGAGUUGAACCUUUUAAUUUCUGUUUUUCAAAAAUCAACUCAUAAUACAGAGGUGAGUUGAGCCUCGGGCCACAUGCCGAGGUAUUUUCAAAAUCUGUUUGGCAAAUUCUGUGUUCAAAAAUCAACUCAUAAUACAGAGGUGAGUUGAGCCUCGGGUCAUGCCGAGGUAUUUCUUUUAAAUUUUUGUUUUCAAAAAAUCAACUCAUAUUGCGAGAGGUGAGUUGAGCCUCAGGACACGCUGAGGUAAUUUCAAUUUUUUUUUUCCAAAUUUCAACUCAUGUUGCGAGAAAUGGGUUGAGCCUCAGGACACGCUGAGGUAAUUUCAAUUUUUGUUUUUCAAAAUCAACUCAUAUUGCGAGAGGUGAGUUGAGCCUCAGGACACGCUGAGGUAAUUUUAAUUUAUGUUUUUCAAAAAUCAACUCAUAUUGCGAGAGGUGAGUUGAGCCUCGGGGCACGCCGAGGUAUUUUCAAAUUCUACUUUCAAAAAAUCAACUCAUAUUGCGAGAGGUGGGUUGAACCUUUUAAUUUCUACUUUUUCAAGAUCAGCUCAUAUUUCUAGAGGUGAGUUGAGCCUCGGGGCACGCUGAGGUAUUUUCAAUUUUUUGUGUGUUUUAAUUUCAACUCAUAUUGCGAGAGGUGAGUUGAGCCUUGGGUCACAUGCCGAGGUAUUUUCAAAAUCUGUUUGGCAAAUUCUGUGUUCAAAAAUCAACUCAUAUUGCGAGAGGUGGGUUGAACCUUUUAAUUUCUACUUUUUUGAAAUCAACUUAUAUUGCGAGAGGUGAGUUGAGCCUCAGAACACGCUGAGGUAAUUUCAAUUUCUGUUGUCAAAAAAAAAAUCAACUCAUAUUGCGAAAAGUGAGUUGAGCCUUUGCCACAUGCGGAGAUAUUUUCAGUUUUUGUUUUUAAUGUCUGUUUUUAAAGAGUCAAUUCAUAUUGCGAGAAAUGAGUCGAACUCAGGAUCACAUGCCGAGUAAGAAUAAAGAUUGAAGCUGAUGAAAAACACCAGAGUUGGUCUCCCUGAAGCUGCAGUGGAGCCUGUCAAAAGUUACAAGUCUUGUCUCCCUGAGGUCGCAGUAGAACUGAUCGAGGAUAUCAAAUCUUGUCUCGCUAGAGUUACAAAAGAGAAGAUCACGAAUCUCAUCUCACUGAAGUGAUAAAAGAACAGAUUGAAGCUUAGAUCUUAUCUUUAUGAAGCUACGUGGAAGCAGAUCAAAGCCACAAAUCACAUAUCUUUGAAGUCACAUUGGAGUAGAUUUAAACUACAAGGCAUAUAUCAGAAGAUGCAGUGGAUUGGAAGAAGACCAUCUGAACAAGAAGAGCACCAAUGAAGUCAAGACUCGGCAGGACAGGGCAAAAUUGGCCUUUCACUUAGUCUUUGCUCUAUUCCCGUUACACGACAAUGAGCAAAGAGGGGCAGCUGUACUAGGCCAAUUUCGGCCCAAUCUCAUUUACAAAUUAAAACUCCAUUUACAAAACACUAAACCCCUUAAAACCCAAACCCAUUCACACUUUUACAAACCCAAAUACUAUUAACCCAAUACCCUAAACUAACCUGCCCUAAUCCAAAAACCCCUAACCCAAUAAGCCCAUUAAACAAAACAAGCCCAAACCAAUACCAAAUCCCUAGCCCAAGACCAGAAUCGGGAAACCCUAGCAGCUCCCCAAGCCUCCAGCCGCUGCACGCUAGGCCAACCAUGGGCCACCUUGCGCACUACCACCACCACACCCCGCGCAUGCCCUUCUCCUCCAUGCGUCUGACACCGCCUGCAAAAUGAGACACAACAACAGCAGCAACAGAGCAGUAGCGAAUGGAAGAAACAAUAUUUUUUGUACUCUGCUUUGAAACAUUCGGCUAUAAAGCCUAAAGGGAAAAUUUGUAAAGGAAGGAAGGGGGGCAUAUUUUUACGAACGAAUACACAAUAGGCAAUACAAAAAAAGCAAUAUUGGAAGGUGAUUUCUCCGAUCGAAAUCUCUGGGCUUUCUCUUUGUGAUUAUUUUUUUUUAUUUCGAGAGUAAAUAAAAGAAAAGGGGAACACGAACACAGACGCACACAGAAUAUACACGCACAGAAAUAUAUAAAAAAACAAUUAAGAAUUUGCAAGGGUAAUCUCAAGUUUUCUUUCGUUCUUUCUUUUUUUUUUCUUUUUUGUUUGGUUUAGAUCGUCUUUUAGUAGGUAAAUCGACUCCAAUGAGAUCCCGAAUACUUUAAGAUACAAAAGUAGGGGAGAGGGGUCAAGUGGUGUUGAAUCUCUAUUUUAUGAACUUUCUUCGUUUUUUUUAAAAAUGUAUGAGAUUUGAAGUUUUAUUUUUUCUCAAGUAAAAAAGAAAAUACUUACUAAUUUCCUCAAGGCAUGGUCGAAUACUUACGGCCAUAGAACCAGGAAUUGUUUUGCGCGCUGCUGGACACCAAAUCCGAUGGAGAUUCAGCUGCUUGUAAAAGGAACCCUAGCAAAUUUAUUUUCAAGGCUGCUGGUUUUUGUUAAAAUGGAUGGGUAUUUGAAAGGAAAGGAAGGGAAAAUGGUUUAAAAUGGUCUGAAAUACAAAACAGUGCUGCCCAUGACCAUAAGGGUCCGCGCGUGGGCCCGAAUAGAAAAAUGGAUCUGCGCCAUGUUGUGUGAAUGGGGAAAUUGCGCGCUGAAUCCUUCCCUUGCGCACAACCUUCAAUUCGCGCCCCAAUUUCCCCCCCAACCAAUAAACGACGCCGUUUCAAGGGUGGGUCGGGUCGACCCGACCCGCCCCAGCAAGGAUCCGCGUGUUUUUAAGAGCGGAAGGGCUAUUUGCGCAAUCAGCGCUUCCGCAUUUUUGGUGUUUUAAAUUAGGUUUAUGUUUGUUUCUGAAUUGACCCCAGAAUUUUGCUCAGUUUUUAAUUUAACCCCCGUAUAUGCGCAGCGUUUUGGAAAGUUUGAAAAUUUGCACUUUUAAUACCCCAUGGUUUUACCCGCAUUAAAAUAGGUCCUUUCCCUUUUAAUUUUUUUAAAUUCGCCCCAAAGCUUUGUUUUUAGUUCAUUUUUGGUCCUUUUUGUUUCCUUAUUUAAUAUGAUUAUUGUUAUUUCCAAUAUUAUAGUAUUAUUAUUACUAUAUAUUAGUAUACAUUUUUCUUUUACAUGUGAAUAUUGUAUAUAUUUAUAUAUAAUAUUAUUUUUAAUUAUUGUAUUUUAAUAUUAUUAUUAUAUUAUAUAUACUUCUUCGUAUUUUAUUAUUAUUAUUAGUAUUAUUAUCUUUAUUCAUAUUAGCAUACAUAUGUUAUUAUAUAUAUACACAUUUCAUAUAGUAUUAUCUUUUCUUUACUUUUAUAUUUAUUAUUAUAUUCAUUGUUAAUACAUCUAUUUUUUAUACAUGUAUAUAUACCCUUUUUGUAAUAUUAUUUUUUACACCUAUAUGUAUAUAUUUUAUUUUAUUGUUGCUAGUUAUGUACUUUUUUACUAUCUUAUACGUACUUCAAACACUAUACGUAUAGUAUAUUUCUAACACUACUACUAUUUAUAUAAAUAUUUUACGUAUAUACUCUUAAUUAUCUUCAUAUGUGUUUUCAUUGUAUUCUUAUUACGUUCUCGUAUUCAAUGCUAACAUUGCAUUUGAUCUUGCAUGCACGGUUAUUAUUUUCUAAUAUUAUUGUCACCUCGAUUAUUUGUUUCAACAUAUUCCUAGCUCUUUCAUUUAUUGAUUUUUAUUUCAUAUUAUUUUACUUUGCAUUAUUUCGAAAAUCGUAUUCUUGUUUUGCUAAUUAAUUUCAAUAAUCAAGGCAAUAUAUCGAUUUAACAUUAAGUCAUCAAGUUCAUCGCUAUGUUGGGUGAACGUCAAUUGACUCGUGUUAAAGCGAUAUACCCUUCUAAAAGAAAAAACGGAAUAAACUAAGUUUCUUGUUUUUUAAUGGGAUCACGACUAAAUUUUACAUUGAACCAUAUUUUUGAAAAUUAAGACAACAUGUGUUUAUGAGAUACCAAUUUUUGGGCGUCGCGAGGGUGCUAAUACCUUCCUUGCGCGUAACCGACUCCCGAACCCUAAUUUUCCUCUGGCUUUUAACGUAGACCUAAAUUCAGCCUUCCUUUUGUUUUUUUUUAAAAAAGAAGUCUAACAGGUGUCCGGUCACACCUAAUAAAAAGGAUUGGUGGCGACUCCCUCUUUAUUUUGAAAUCGAAUUUCAGUUUCCAAACUUUUUCACUAGAUCGCCACAAUUAGCGACCCCGGAACCAAUUUUUAUGUCGCUACACUAAUUACAAUAAAGAAACAACUAACAUCUUUUAGACUUUACCAUUAGAUUUUAUAGUUCAUUAUAAAUUUGUAUUCUUAUACAUAUACUACGAACCCCAAUAUAUGUCUCCUGUGAAGCCUAAAAUGUGUCCUCUAGUGGAGUUGACCCUUCGGCAAACCAUGUGCAUCUACGUCACUAGAUGCGAUCCUAAAUUAGGUGAACAUCAUGUAACACGCACCUUCGCCAAACAUAUGCGAGGUGCAUCUAGGGAAGUCUAAGAUCAUUGAUUACCCAAUUGUUCUAAAACGUUAUAUUCUAGGACAUCACACCACUGUCACUACCAAGAAGCAACAUCAGAUCCCAUUGUCAAUAGUCCCUAAACAUGUUGCAUGUAAGACCCCUUAACCCUAAACCGUCGCCAGAACAGGGUUACGAGACAUUACCGAACUUAUCGGACAAUUUACAACUAAUUCUUAAAUAAAUAACAAACAUAUUAUAAUAUAAUCAUAAAUUCAUAUAAAACUUUUGCUAAUUGACUUCAUUUAAAAAAAAACUCAAUAUAACAUCUUUAUAAAUAUUUAACUUUCUCUACAAUUUCAAAUCGCAACCAAUCCAAACAAAUCACUUCAUGAAUUUAUACAUCUCUAAUUAUAACAAACUAAUAAUAUAAAGUUCUAACAUUUUUAUGUUUAUAACAAUCUAACAUAAGAUGUCUAAUUGAUUCAUUUAAAUUAUCAUUCAAAAAAAUUGCCCAAAGCUAUGAUAUAGGCUAUGUUUAAGACAUAUGUAAUUGUAUGGAACAACCAUUACCAUCAUUUAUCAUUAAUAUUUUAUGUAUCAAAAUAACAACAAAUUACAACCUAGGUACAUGCCAUUUUCAAAAGAGAAAAUACAUCACCACGUAUUUGAGUUCAGAAUUGACUUGGAUGUUGAUUUGUACCUAACCUGUGCACGAAAAUAAACUAUACGCUGAGUAUGCACUUAAUGGUAUUUCUAUAAACCAAUACUUAAAUCAAUUAUUAGCUCAUAUCCAUUUUGACUAUAAAACCUUAUUUACAUAACAAUAGUUAAUUUCUUAACUCGAUAAAGUAUAUGAUUCUAAUCAUAUUUAAUCAAUAACAAUCAGUUAUUCAAUACAGUAAUUUAGUUAUUCAGUAACUAUCAAAUAUUCAUUGCAGUAGUUUAGUUAUUCAAUAACUAUCAAUUAUUCAAUACAGUAAUUUAGUUAUUCAGUAACUAUCAAUUAUUUAGUACAGUAGUUUACCCCUAUUAACAUAACUUGGACCUAGACGGAUACACGGAUCCAAACAACACACUCGUACGGCACUUAGUGCCUUAUCGGCUUUGUCGAAGUAAACAGUAACAGUAUGGUACAUAGUACCUCAUCGGAUUAAACCCAAGUAACAGUAACAGUAACAGUACGGCACACAAGGUGCCUCAUCGACUCGAAGUCGAAGUAAUAGUACGACACUUAUAGUGUCUCAUCGACUCAAGAUCGAAGUAUCUCUGAACACUAAACACAAAUUCACAUACAUUCAAUUUAAUAUCAAAACACUAAUACUUACCUUAAUAUCUUUCCAUACAUAUAUAAUAAUAAUAACAACAAUUUAAAUGUUAAGUUCGAUUUGUAGAAAUACAAACCGUAAUUCUCGAAUUACUCUUAGUCAACCUUCUCAUUUCCUUUCUUUGUCGAGGUCUCCGGUAUUAUGUUAGCUACGGAAAUUAAAAUAAUUAUACCAUUAAUUACAGCACUCAUUAUAACAAAUGAUUGAAUUUCUAUUCAAUUUAUACCUUAUUUUCAAUUAGGUUCUAACUAACUCAUUCACUUUACUAACUUAAUUCAUACUUCAUUCUUAUUCAAAUUCCUAUCAAAUUCAACUUGACUAUCAAGUGUUUAUAAUAAAACCCUAAUUUAAAACUUCUUUUAAUUGGAUCCCUCAAUCACCAAAACUUAUAGCCUAGUUUACAAUUUAAUCCUUUAAUCAAUUCUAACUUAAAAUUCAUUCAAUUAAACCCCUAAUUCAUUAUUUUGUUCAACAUGAACUAUAUUCAAAAACCUAAAAACUUCUAAAACCCCAACUUAAUUUCAACAAAACUUUGUUCUAAAGCUUUUAAAACAUCAAAUUUAAAUAAAAAUGACUUAAUUGACUUGCCAAUUAAAGCUUAAAGCUCCCAAACCCUAGUUUUUCCCUUUUUCUUUCUUUUUUUCUUUUUCCCUGGUACUUUCGAAUAGCCUAUUCUGUUUUGGUUUCCUUCUUUGUUUUAUUUUCUUUUAUUUUAUGCUUUAUUUGUUUGAUAAUAAUAUAAUAUCUUAAUAAAUAUCUAUUUAAUAAUCAAUAUAUUUGUUACAAGUGUAAUAUUACUUAUAUUUACACAUGUACUAAAUCAUCAUCAUACAUUUGUCAUGUUUUAAUUUAUUUAUCACAUAAAAAUCUUAUAAUAUAAUUAUUUAACUAAUAAAUAUCUUUUACUAAUAAUAAAUAAUAAAUAAUAAAUAUCUAUUUACUUAAAUAAUAAGUAAUUUAAAUCCAUGAAUUACAUUUUUCAUUUUGGUCCUUUAUAUUUUUUUAAUCUAUAAUUCAAUUUUUACUCCUUAUUCAAUCUAGUCAUUCUUCCUAUUUUCUCUUAAUUAAGCUAAAUUCGCCUAAUUAAAACUUAAUUAAACACACUACUGACUCAGAAAUAUUCCUAAUAAUUAUUUUCAAACUCGGUUUACUAAGACGGAGGCUCGAUAAUAUACUUUUCUGAUGCCCGUGAACUUUAGGUCAUUACAUUUAUUCCCCCUUAAUAAAUUUCGUCCUCGAAAUUUACCUAAGAAAAGAUGAGGAUACUGUGCUCUCAUUAUCUCUUUUAGUUCCCCAGUCACUUCUUCUACAUUAUGACUCCACCAUAAAACUUUCACUAAAGGAACUUGUUUAUUACGCAAUUCCUUUACCUCACAAGCCAAUAUCUUAAUCGGUUCUUCUUCAUAUGACAGAUCGGGUCGAAUUUCAAUAUCCUCUGUAGAAAUAAUAUGUGAAGGAUCUGAUCGAUAUCUUUUAAGCAUAGAAAUAUGAAAAAGAUCAUGAUUCUUUUGUAAUUCUGGAGGCAAAGCCAUACGAUAUGCAACUGGUUCAACUCUCUCAAUAAUCUCAUAUGGCCCAAUAAAACGAGGACUUAGUUUUCCUUUUCGACCGGACCUCAUAAUUUUCUUCCAAGGUGAAACUUUUGAAAAUACCUUAUCACCAACCAUAUACUCAAUAUCUCUACGUUUCAAAUUUGUUUAUGAUUUCUGCCUGUCAAAAGCUGUCUUCAAUCUUUCUCGAAUCUUCUUAACAGUAUCUUCUGUUUCUUGAGUCAAUUUUGGUUCAAUCACUUUUCUCUCAUUUAAUUCUAUUUAACACACUAGUUACUGAUACCUUCGACCAUAUAAAGCUUCAUAUGGUGCCAUUUGAAUACUUGAUUGAAAACUAUUAUUGUAUACAAAUUCAGCUAAUGGUAGAUAACAUUUCCAACCUGAUUCAAAAUCAAUAAUACAAGCUCAAAGCAUAUCUUCUAAAAUCUGGAUAACUCGUUCUGAUUGUCCAUCGGUCUGUGGAUGGAAAACUGUGCUAAAAUUAAGUCAAGUACCAAGAGAUUCAUGUAGUUGCCUCCAAAAUAUGGAUGUAAACCGUGGAUCUCGAUCAGAAAUUAUUGACACCAGAAUACCAUGUAAUCGUACUAUCUUUCGAAUAUAAACUUCAACAAGUUUCUAAAGUGACCAAUUCGUUCUGACUGCUAUAAAAUGAGCUGACUUUGUAAGCCAAUCAACAAUCACCCAAAUAGCAUUUUUCUUACUUGGUGACAAUGGCAACCCUGUUACAAAAUCCAUUGUGAUGCAGUCCCAUUUUCGUUCAGGAAUGUUAAUAGGCUGAAGUAAACUAGUUGGAACUUGAUGCUCUACUUUGACUCGCUAACAUGUCAAACAUUUAGCCACAAAUUCCACAAUAUCUCUCUUCAUACUUGGCCACCAAUAUAAUUCUCGUAAAUCACGGUACAUUUUCGUUCCUCGGGGAUGUAAUGAAAAAGGACUAUCAUGUGCUUCUCGAAGUAUCAACUCUUUCAAUUCUGAAAUAUUUAGAACACAGAUCCGAUUAUGAAAUCUUAGACAAUCAUGCUCAUCAAUACUAAAAUUCUCUGCUAUGCCACUCUGAACCAUUUCUUUUCUCUUCAUUAGCUUAUCAUCUUCUAAUUGAGCUGACUUGAUUCGUUCAAACAUCAUUGGUUUAAUUUUUAAUUCACCCAAUAAACCUCCAUCAUCACUAAUUCUGAUUGUCCAUUUAAAGAAGCAUCACUAUACACAAUAAAAUCUUUCCCUGAUUCUGGUAAAGUCAAAAUUGGUGCCUUUGUCAACAUCUGCUUCAAUUUCAUAAAACUUUCUUGAGAUUGAUCAUUCCAAACAAACGGAACAUUAUUUUGCAAUAGCUUUGUCAUUGGUAAAGCUAUUUUUGAAAAUUCAUUCACGAACCUUCGAUAAUACCCAGCCAAUCCAAGAAAACUACGUACCUCUGACACAUUUUUGGGAGUUUUCCACUGGACGAUUGCUUCAAUCUUCUUUUGAUCCACUCUAAUUCCAUCUGCUGACACCACGUGACCAAGAAAUACCGCCUCUGAUAACCAAAAUUCACACUUACUCAAUUUCCCAUACAACUGUUUCUCUCGUAACAUUUGUAAAACAAUUUGAAGAUGUUGCUCAUGUUCAGAUUCUGUUGCUCAUGUUCAGAUUCAGACUUUGAAUAUACCAAAAUGUCAUCAAUAAAGAUUACCACGAACUGAUCCACGUAUGGCUAAAAAAUUCGGUUCAUAAGAUCCAUAAAAGUAGCUGGGGGAUUUGUUAACCCAAAUGGCAUCACUAAGAACUCAUAAUGACCAUAUCUUGUAUGAAAUACUGUCUUCAGUACAUCACUUUCUUUCACCUUUAACUGAUAGUAGCCCGAUCUUAAAUCAAUCUUUGAAAAUACUGAAGCUCCUUUCAAUUGAUCAAAUAAAUCAUCAAUACGUGGUAAUGAAUAUUUAUUCUUGAUUGUCACAUUGUUCAAUUACCGAUAAUUAAUACACAACCGCAUCAAACCAUCUUUCUUUUUAACAAAUAACACUAGAGCUCCCUAAUGUGAUGUACUAGGUCGUAUAAAACCUCGAUCCAACAAAUCUUGCAAUUGUAUUUACAAUUCCUUCAACUCCAUAAGUGACAUAUGAUAUGGAGGUAUUGACACUGAAUCUGUACCCGGGUAUACUUCGAUCACAAAUUCAACUUCCCGAUCAGGAAGUAAUCCAGGUAACUCUUCAGAGAAUACAUCAGGAAAUUCACAUACAGUCCUGAUUUUACUAUAUUUACUCUCCACCCAAUCCGAAUUAAUUACAUAUGCUAAGAAAGUAGCACAACCUUGACAAAGAAGCUUACUAGCUUUAAUUGCUGAGGUAAUACGAACUGAUCCACUGGUCUGAAUACCAUUUAAUUCAAUCUGAUCACCAAUUUCAUUCUGAACAGUGAACUUCUUUUUAUAGCAGUCCAAAAUUACCCCAUGUUCUGAUAGCCAGUCCAUGCCCAAUAUAAUGUGAAAGUCGCCAAAUGGCAUAAUUAACAAGUCAACAGAAAAGAUUCUAUCCUAAAUCAUUAACGGGCAUCUUCAACAUAUUUGAUUCACUAAUAUAGUGUGCCCCAAAGAACUAGAUACCUCUACUGUUACUCUAGACAGUUCAGGUUUUAAUUUUCCAUUCUCAGCUAAUUUUGUGUUAACAUAAGAAUAUGACAAUCCCGGAUCUAUUAAAGCAUAAACGGGCUCUAAAUGCAAUAAAAAUACACCUGUCACCACAUCGUAUGCAUCUCCUUCUUCACGAGUUCUUACAACAUAUGCUCAGGCUAGGGUUUUAGCUUCCGAUUGUUGGGUGGCAACUUCACUUGUUCUUUUAGCACCUCCUCUACUAUCUGAGCCACCUCUGCCUGAUCCUCAACCUCUAGAAGCAGAUUCAGAUCUCUGUGAUACUGUUGGUGCUGCUUUAUUAAUCUUUGGACAGUCUUUUAUGAAAUGAUUGGUGGAUCCGCAACGGAAACAUCCUCCAGUUAAUUUCCAACACUCUCCUCGAUGUUUAUUCCCACAGUAUUGACCUUCCGAAAUUUUAGUAUUCUGAGAUGACCCUCUGAUGCUGCUAGUGGAAACUGUCUUCUGCCUACCACGAUUCCUGUCACUUCUAUUUGAUCUAGAACCAAAUCUCCAACUGCCUCGAAAUUCUUUUGAUCUCUUAAGUUAUGGAUUAGAACUUGUAAUUCCGGGACGCUUUCCAAGUGAACAAGAAGUUUCAGGCUUUUUAUUUAAUCCCAACACUUGUUCAACGAAAUCUCCAUACGUACGCUUCUCCUUGUAACAAAGAAACGGCACAUAAUAAACUUUCCUGUGGGGUGCAUUCAAGUUACUUCAAAAUUCUCUUUGUGGUUUCUAUCUAGUUUUCAGCUACAAACGGAUCAACUCCCCUUGAACCCAGAAAUUUGGUAGCACCAUACUUCUGCAACUCUUUAAUCGAGACUCUUCGGGUAGUAGGAAUAGGGGCAUAACAGGUAUAGUUCCUACUGCUCUUUGAAGGGCAUCGACGACCACUCUGAGUAUUUCUGAAUUAUCUCAUUAUCUAGUAUCACUCCUUUUAACAUUUGAUGGUUGAUUACCUACCGGGUUUAUACUUGGAAUUGCAGACUCCGAUUUAUUCAUAUCAUAUGAUUCAUCAUCUUCAUUAUACAUUUCUCGAUCAGUAUCUUCAAUAUUUUCACCAGACAUCUUUAAUUAUAAAACAGAAACAAUAAUUCAGUAUACAUAUAUAUCAGCAUCCAAUCCCGACUUAAAUUUAACUCAAUUAUGACAUGUACCUCUAGACUCAUUUCUGUACUCAAUUUAAUCCUAGAAUCGACUAAACCUAAAUAGCUUUGAUACCAUUAAAAUGUAACACCCCCUAACCUUAAACCGUCGCCGGAACAGGGUUACGAGACAUUAUCAAACUUAUCAGACAAUUUACAAAUAAUUCUUAAAUAAAUAACAAACAUAUUAUAAUAUAAUCAUAAAUUCAUAUAAAAAUUUUGCUAAUUGACUUCAUUUUUAAAAAAAAAACUCAAUAUAACCCCUUUAUAAAUAUUUAACCUUCCCUGCAAUUUCAAAUCGCAACCAAUCAAAACAAAUCAAUUCAUGAAUUUAUACAUCUCUAAUUAUAACAAACUAAUAAUAUAAAGUUCUAACAUUUUUAUGUUUAUAAAAAUCUAACAUAAGAUGUCUAAUUGAUUCAUUUAAAUUAUCAUUCAACAAAAUUGCCUAAAGCUAUUAUAUAGACUAUGUUUAAGACAUAUGUAAUUGUAUGGAACAACCAUUACCAUCAUUUAUCAUUAAUAUUUUAUGUAUCAAAAUAACAACAAAUUACAACCUAGGUACAUGCCAUUUUCAAAAGAGAAAAUACAUCACCAUGUAUUUGAGUUCGGAAUUGACUUGGAUGCUGAGUCGUUAGUCACUUUUGUACCUAACCUACGCACGGAAACAAACCGUACGCUGAGUAUGCACUCAGCGGUAUUUUUAUAAACCAAUACUUAAAUCAAUUAUUAGCUCAUAUCCAUUUUGACUAUAAAACCUUAUUUACAUAACAAUAGUUAAUUUCUUAACUCUUCCUCGAUAAAGUAUAUGAUUCUAAUCAUAUUUAAUCAAUAACAAUCAGUUAUUCAGUAUAGUAAUUUAGUCAUUCAGUAACUAUCAAAUAUUCAUUGCAAUAGUUUAGUUAUUCAAUAUUCAGUACAGUAGUUUACCCCUAUUAACAUAACUCGGACCUAGACGAAUACACGGAUCCAACCAACACAUCAGUACGGCACUUAGUGCCUCAUCGACUUAAAGUCGAAGUAACAGUAUGACACUUAUAGUGCCUCAUCGAAUCAAGGUCGAAGUAUCCCUGAACACUUCCAAUCCUAUGGCAUGCCAAUUAUAUCCGACUCAGUCCGAUACAGUUAAUAGGGUAUUCAACUCAUUUAUCAAUUCACAGUAAGUAAUCAUUUCAAUAUCAAUUUCACAAAAAUCACAAAUUCACAUACAUUCAAUUCAAAAUCAGAACACUAAUACUUACCUUAAUAUCUUUCCAUACACAUAUAAUAAUAAAAGCAACAAUUUAAAUGUUAAAUUCGGUUUAUAAAAAUACAAACCGUAAUUCUCGAAUUACUUUUAGUCAACCUUCUCCUUUCCUUUCUUUGUCUAGGUCUCCGGAAUUACGUUAGCUACGAAAAAUAAAAUAAUUAUACCAUUAAUUACAACACUCAUUAUAAUAAAUAAUUGAAUUUUUAUUCAAUUUAUACAUUAUUUUCAAUUAGGUCUUAACUAACUCAUUCACUUUACUAACUUAAUUCGUACUUCAUUCUUAUUCAAAUUCCUAUCAAAUUCAACUUAACUAUCAAGUGUUCAUAAUAAAACCCUAAUUUAAAACUUCUUUCAAUUUGAUCCCUCAAUCACCAAAACUUAUAGCCUAGUUUACAAUUUAAUCCUUUAAUCAAAUCUAACUUAAAAUUCAUUCAAUUAAACCCCUAAUUCAUUAUUUUGUUCAACAUGAACUAUAUUCAAAAACCUAAAAACUUCCAAAUCCUUAACUUAAUUUCAACAAAACUUUGUUCUAAAGCUUCUAAAACAUCAAAUUUAAAUAAAAAGGACUUAAUUGACUUACCAAUUAAAGUUUAAAGCUUCCAAACCCAGUUUUUCCUUUUUCUUUCUUUUCUUCUUUUUUUCCCCUGGUACUUACGAAUAACCUAUUCUGUUUUGGUUUCCUUUUUUGUUUUAUUUUAUGCUUUAUUUGUUUAAUAAUAAUAUAAUAUCUUAAUAAAUAUCUAUUUAAUAAUCAAUAUAUUUAUUACAAAUGUAAUAUUACUUAUAUUUACAUAUUUACCAUAUCAUCAUCAUACAAUUGUCAUGUUUUAAUUUAUUUAUCACAUAAAAAUCUUAUAAUAUAAUUAUUUAAUUAAUAAAUAUCUUUUAUUUAAUAAUAAAUAAUAAAUAUCUAUUUACUUAAAUAUUAAGUAAUUUAAAUUCAUAAAUUGCAAUUGUAUCCUUAUUUUUAUUACAAAUGUAUAUUUUAUUGCCAUACAUUAAAUAAUAAUUUAUACUAUUAUAUUCUAAUAUUAAUUAUAAUAAUUUAAAUCAUUAAAAAUUUUUAGAUUUUUCUCAUUGUUUUACGGUCUCAACUAUUACUUAAUGGCAUAUUUUCUAUUUUGGUCCUUUAUAUUUUCUUUUAAUCUAUAAUUCAUUUUACCCCUUAUUCAAUCUAGUCAUUCUUCCUAUUUUCUCUUAAUUAAGCUAAAUUCAGCUAAUUAAAACAUAAUUAAAUACACUACUAGACUCACAAAUAUUCUUAAUAAUUAUUUUCGAACUCAAUUUACUAAAACGGAGGCCCGAUAAUGUACUUUUCUGAUGCCCGUGAACUUUGGGUCAUUACAUUGCAAACCUUAUCUCCCACAAUAAAAGGACUCAUUCAAUGGCUCAGAGAACAAAUGAACACACCAUGUCUUCUUCCUUCCCAAAGAUCCAUCCCAAAAAACCUGUCAUCCUCUGUACCUUUCCACCUUCCCGUAGGUGAACCACCACGCUAUCCACCAUCUUCUAUCUCUUAUUAAUCAAACCGGUUAACAAUUACAUGUAAUAAAAAAUUUACUAAUAAGUGUUAGGUGACGUUAUAAGACAUAUUAUACUCUUAAAGUAGACGUAGGUUUGAACAUUGAAGACAAUAUUAUAGGAAGGGGCAAUCAUGAAUCUUGAGCAUGAGCCACAAAAUAGAUCCAAUAAUUAAAAAAAAUAGCUCUUUUAAAAUUACUAUAAGAAAUAAUUAUUUAAAUUGAUUUCUUUUGGAAAAUAUAGAAAUAAAACUAAGGUUUAAUUCAUAAAUUGAUACAUAAACUAUAUUAUUUUUCUCAAGUUGGUAUUUAAACUUUUUUUUAUCAUAAGUAACACAUAAACUAUUUUUUUUUCCAAAUUGGUACCCUAUUAGUCAACCGUCAAUGAAAACUGUUGGACCUAUUAGAAAGAUAAAAGACAACCAAUUAAAAACUACCGUAUUGCAUAAAAAGAAAAAUAAAUAUUAUUUUCUCUUUAUAUUGUACUAGGCCAAUUUCGGCCCAAUCUCAUUUACAAAUUAAAACUCCAUUUACAAAACACUAAACCCCUUAAAACCCAAACCCAUUCACACUUUUACAAACCCAAAUACUAUUAACCCAAUACCCUAAACUAACCUGCCCUAAUCCAAAAACCCCUAACCCAAUAAGCCCAUUAAACAAAACAAGCCCAAACCAAUACCAAAUCCCUAGCCCAAGACCACAAUUGGGAAACCCUAGUAGCUCCCCAAGCCUCCAGCCGCCGCACGCUAGGCCAACCAUGGGCCACCUUGCGCACUACCACCACCACACCCCGCGCAUGCCCUUCUCCUCCAUGCGUCUGACACCGCCUGUAAAACGAGACACAACAACAGCAGCAACAGAGCAGUAGCGAAUGGAAGAAACAAUAUUUUUUGUACUCUGCUUUGAAACAUUCGGCUAUAAAGCCUAAAGGGAAAAUUUGUAAAGGAAGGAAGGGGGGGCAUAUUUUUACGAACGAAUACACAAUAGGCAAUACAAAAACAGCAAUAUUGGAAGGUGAUUUCUCCGAUCGAAAUCUCUGGGCUUUCUCUUUGUGAUUAUUUUCUUUUUUUUUUAUUUCGAGAGUAAAUAAAAGAAAAGGGGAACACAAACAUAGACGCACACAGAAUAUACACGCACAGAAAUAUAAAAAAAAACAAUUAAGAAUUUGCAAGGGUAAUCUCAAGUUUUCUUUCGUUCUUUCUUUUUUUUUCCUUUUUGUUUGGUUUAGAUCGUCUUUUAGUAGGUAAAUCGACUCUAAUGAGAUCCCGAAUACUUUAAGAUACAAAAGUAGGGGAAAGGGGUCAAGUGGUGUUGAA
rnacentral:lncRNA from 1 species